AGGUUUGUUCCUCGUUCUGAGCAUUGAGAUCUUGGCCUUAGCUUUCUCACACGGUCCUUUCAGCCUUUCGCAGCUUUAGAUAUUUAAAAUUUUAUUGUUCAUUCAGCAAAAACGUGCAAGUGAAGCGGGAUCUGAGCCGAGAGCAUUUCCCAUAAACCCAAACUAGGCUUUAAUGGCUUUCCAGACAAGAGCACAGAAGCUUAACCCCUGAUGGAGUCGUGGUGACGUGAACCGAUGUCAUCAGUCAUGGAGGAACACGGACACAUGCAAUAUCGGGAUAUUGGGUUUUUGUCCUGGAUUCUGGAUACCUACCAGCUCCCCUGGCUGUCAGCUGAAGCUCAAUAAACUCUCAGCGUGUGGUUUAUGAGAAGGAGAACAGAAGAGACGGAGAGCAGGAGACAGACAGACGAGGACAGGAGAAGAGUCUGGACUGCAGGAUUCGGCCAGAACCUAGCUGACAUUUUGAUAAUGAACUCGUCUCGUCUGAGAGACGAGAACACACACACACACACACACACACACACACACACACACACACACACACACACACACACACACACACACAUUUAUUAAGCAUUGUCUUCUCAACAUUAUUUAGCAAAGAAAGAGCCUCCCGUACGAGAGAAACAAAUCCGGCAGACAAAAUGAGUUUUUUAUAUACGAGCGUUUUAUAUAUCGACAGGAAAAAAAAACACGAAAACAGGAAAAUAAUUCGACAUAUCAAUCGACGACUUUGAAACCUUUUCACUGCAGAACAAAAACAUGAGCAUGUGAUGAUUUUUUACUUCACGUGUCUGUCAGUUUCACUCGAUCAGAGGUCUUUAAGCACGCGACAGUCUGCAGCCUGUUUGGAAAAGUUGGACGUAUGAAGUGUUUUGGGGCCAUUCUGUUGGAUUAAGGCUGUUAUUGAAUUGACGUGUGAAUGAUUCAGCCAAACACAUGGUCACGGUGCAAACACAGUGCACGUGGUGUACAGAUGUCAACAGACUUUAUGCGAGUCAUCUGUCCUUCAGGUUUAAACACGAUCAGAAUAAUACAGGAGAUGAAAUCUGCUCAGAAUCCAAAAUACGGAUAAGUGAUUCAAAUUUGCAGAUAACUACUAAAACGAAUAUUGUAGAAGAAUGAGAACGAUCUCGUGCGGUCUCGUCCUGUCGUAGUUCGUCCACCUCACGGUUCGGAUCGCGUUGCGCUUUCUGAGAUGUUUUUCUGCUCGUCACGGUCGUUUAGAGCGGUGGUUUUAGACUAUAUCCUUUCUGUCCUGUCUGUCCGUUCUUCUUGUAUUUUCUUUUCCGAAUCAUUCACGUAAUACUGUUUUGUGUGGAACAUCGAAGAGAAAUCGUACCACUCAUUCUGGUGGUAGAUGUGAACAUACCGUUGUAAAACUCUUGGAUUCUGACAGCUAGCUGCAGAGGUUCGUGUAUUGAGCCGCUGUCAGGAUAAAAGGUGCAAAGUGGAGUUGUGCAGGUGUUCCUAAUAAAGUGGCUUUAUAAAAAGUUUA